UGACUAUAAGUUUAACGGCCGCGGUAUUUUGACCGUGCAAAGGUAGCGCAAUCACUUGUCUUUUAAAUGAAGACCUGUAUGAAUGGCAAGACGAGGGCUAAGCUGUCUCCUUUUCCAAGUCAGUGAAGUUGAUCUCCCCGUGCAGAAGCGGGGAUAUUUUCAUAAGACGAGAAGACCCUAUGGAGCUUUAGACACUAGAAAGCCCAUGUUAAACAGCCUCUUUGAAGGGUAAGAACUUAAUGGCACCUCAUCUAUUUGUCUUCGGUUGGGGCGACCGCGGGGGAAAAAAUAGCCCCCACGUGGAAUGGAAAUAUGCUUUUCCAGAGCCAAGAAAAACCUUUCUAAGCAACAGAAAUUUUGACCAAAAAUGAUCCGGCAAAGCCGAUCAACGGACCCAGUUACCCUAGGGAUAACAGCGCAAUCCUCUCCCAGAGUCCCUAUCGACGAGGGGGUUUACGACCUCGAUGUUGGAUCAGGACAUCCUAAUGGUGCAGCCGCUAUUAAGGG
rnacentral:rRNA from 1 species